ACCUAAGAGAUUAGGCGUUCCCUUCGGGGACGGAAUGACAGGUGGUGCAUGGUUGUCGUCAGCUCGUGUCGUGAGAUGUUGGGUUAAGUCCCGCAACGAGCGCAACCCUCGUUCUAUGUUGCCAGCGCGUUAUGGCGGGGACUCAUAGGAGACUGCCGGGGUCAACUCGGAGGAAGGUGGGGAUGACGUCAAAUCAUCAUGCCCCUUAUGACCUGGGCUUCACGCAUGCUACAAUGGCCGGUACAAAGGGCUGCGAUACCGUAAGGUGGAGCGAAUCCCAAAAAGCCGGUCUCAGUUCGGAUUGUAGGCUGCAACUCGCCUACAUGAAGUUGGAAUCCCUAGUAAUUCUGGAUCAGCAUGCCACGGUGAAUACGUUCCCGGGUCUUGUACACACCGCGGUUCCCGGGUCUUGUACACACC
rnacentral:rRNA from 1 species